rnacentral:rRNA from 1 species
UAACUGAAGAGUUUGAUCAUGGCUCAGAUUGAACGCUGGCGGCAGGCUUAACACAUGCAAGUCGAGCGGGGGAAGGUAGCUUGCUACCGGACCUAGCGGCGGACGGGUGAGUAAUGCUUAGGAAUCUGCCUAUUAGUGGGGGACAACAUCUCGAAAGGGAUGCUAAUACCGCAUACGUCCUACGGGAGAAAGCAGGGGAUCUUCGGACCUUGCGCUAAUAGAUGAGCCUAAGUCGGAUUAGCUAGUUGGUGGGGUAAAGGCCUACCAAGGCGACGAUCUGUAGCGGGUCUGAGAGGAUGAUCCGCCACACUGGGACUGAGACACGGCCCAGACUCCUACGGGAGGCAGCAGUGGGGAAUAUUGGACAAUGGGGGGAACCCUGAUCCAGCCAUGCCGCGUGUGUGAAGAAGGCCUUAUGGUUGUAAAGCACUUUAAGCGAGGAGGAGGCUACUUUAGUUAAUACCUAG